CGUUGAGCUGCAUUGGCGGGAUUUCGCCGUCUUCGUUUCUCUUUCUUCGCGGACGAACACGCGCUGGGCCUGCAUCAAGCAGGAUCCCACGGUCCCUGACGGGAUAUGCGUUAGGGGCUUGUAGCUCAGUUGGUUAGAGCGCGCGCUUGAUAAGCGUGAGGUCGGAAGUUCAAGUCUUCCCAGGCCCACCACUUUCAUCGAGUGAGCAUUCGUCUUCUGGUUACGGGGCCAUAGCUCAGCUGGGAGAGCGCGUGCUUUGCAAGCAUGAGGUCGUCGGUUCGAUCCCGUCUGGCUCCACCACGCUUCGCCUUUCAGGCUUCGCGUGGCGCAGCCAAGCACGGUCGAAGCGUGCCCGGCGUAGCUCACUUGAGCGUAGACGGGCUGGUUGAGAUCAGCCCGUAACCAUCACCGUCCGCGAAACAUCACUUCGCAUCCUGCUAGUCUGGAUAGACAGCAAGAUGCGUGUUUUCUGACAUCGUAAAGAGGAGAUCGAUCCGAGUUGGGUCGUGCAGCAGAUUGUUGCGCGAAUCCUUCAUUAUCUCCGGAUCAUUUUCGGCGCUCGCUUUCAGCCGUGAGGUUGAAUGCGAGUUGUAAAAUGAUCCUUUUAGCGAAGCUUGACCGCCUCGCUAUCGGAACGAUCUUACGAAGCAAGCUGGUCUUUCUAGUCAAUGUCCGGCUGCACGUAGCAUUCAUCGAGGGUGCGCGCCGUAAGGCAAUCGUGCAGACAACAUUCUGCCGAGUGUGUGGACAUUGAUAAUGAGAGCAAUCAAGUGCCUUAAGGGUGUUCGGUGGAUGCCUUGGCGCUG
rnacentral:tRNA from 1 species